rnacentral:rRNA from 1 species
CAGGGAAUCUUGCACAAUGGGCGAAAGCCUGAUGCAGCGACGCCGCGUGAGGGAAGAAGGCUCUAGGGUCGUAAACCUCUUUUCUCGGGGAAGAGUAAGGACGGUACCCGAGGAAUAAGCCACGGCUAACUACGUGCCAGCAGCCGCGGUAAUACGUAGGUGGCGAGCGUUGUCCGGAAUUACUGGGCGUAAAGGGCCUGUAGGCGGUUCGGAAAGUCUCCUGUUAAAUCUCCCGGCUUAACUGGGAGCGGUCGGGGGAAACUUCCGGACUUGAGGCCAUCAGAGGAGAGCGGAAUUCCCGGUGUAGUGGUGAAAUGCGUAGAUAUCGGGAGGAACACCAGUGGCGAAAGCGGCUCUCUGGGGUGGUUCUGACGCUGAGGGGCGAAAGCGUGGGGAGCAAACCGG